GUUUGAUUCUGGCUCAGAUUGAACGCUGGCGGGAUGCUUUACAUGCAAGUCGAACGGCAGCACGGACUUCCAGUCUGGUGGCGAGUGGCGAACGGGUGAGUAAUGUAUCCGGAACGUGCCUAGUAGCGGGGAUAACUACGCAGCGUAGCGGGCAUACCGCACUUGCGGCGGGGGAAAGCGGGGAGCCUUCCGGGCCUCGCACUAUUAAAACGGCCGAUAUCGGAUUAGCUAGUUGGUGGGAAGUAACGGCUCACCAAGGCGACGAUCCGUAGCUGGUUUGAGGACGACCAGCCACACUGGGACUGAGACACGGCCCAGACUCCUACGGGAGGCAGCAGUGGGGAAUUUUGGACAAUGGGGGAAACCCUGAUCCAGCCGCCCGCGUGUGCGAUGAAGGCCUUCGGGUUGUAAAGCGCUUUUGGCAGGAAAGAAACGGCACGGGAUAAUACCCCGUGUAACUGACGGUACCUGCAGAAUAAGCACCGGCUAACUACGUGCCAGCAGCCGCGGUAAUACGUAGGGUGCAAGCGUUAAUCAGAUUACUGGGCGUAAAGCGUGCGCAGGCGGUUCCGGAAGAAAAGAUGUGAAAUCUGAGCUUAACUUUGGAACUGCAUUUUUAACUACCGAGCUAGAGUGUGUCAGAGGGAGGUGGAAUUCCCGCGUGUAGCAGUGAAAUGCGUAGAUAUGCGGAGGAACACCGAUGGCGAAGGCAGCCUCCUGGGAUAACACUGACGCUCAUGCACGAAGAGAAAGCGUGGGAGCAAACAGGAUUAGAUACCCUGGUGGUCCACGCCCUAAACUGAUGUCAACUAGCUGUUGGGGCCUUCGGGCCUUGGUAGCGCAGCUAACGCGUGAAGUUGACCGCCUGGGAAGUACGGUCGCAAGAUUAAAACUCAAAGGAAUUGACGAGGACCCGCACAAGCGGUGGAUGAUGUGGAUUAAUUCGAUGCAACGCGACCUUACCUACCCUUGACAUGUCUGGAAUCCGAAGAGAUUUGGGAGUGCUCGCAAAGAGAACCGGAACCACAGGUGCUGCAUGGCUGUCGUCAGCUCGUGUCGUGAGAUGUUGGGUUCCAGUCCCUCAACGAGCGCAACCCUUGUCGUUAGUUGCUACGAAAGGGCACUCUAUAAUGAGACUGCCGGUGACAAACCGGAGGAAGGUGGGGAUGACGUCAAGUCCUCAUGGCCCUUAUGGGUAGGGCUUCACGUCAUACAAUGGUCGGGACAGAGGUCGCCAACCCGCGAGGGGGAGCCAAUCCCAGUGAUCGUAGUCCGGAUCGCAGUCUGCAACUCGACUGCGUGAAGUCGGAAUCGCUAGUAAUCGCGGAUCAGCAUGUCGCGGUGAAUACGUUCCCGGGUCUUGUACACCGCCCGUCACACCAUGGGUAGGUUUUACCAGUAGUUAGCCUAACCGUAAGGAGGGCGAUUACCACGGUAGGAUUCAUGACUGGGGUGAAGUC
rnacentral:rRNA from 1 species